ensembl:snRNA U6 U6 spliceosomal RNA
GUGCUCACUUUGGCAGCACAUAUGCUACAAUUGGAAUGAGACAGAAGAGAUUGAUGUGGCCCCUGUGCAAGGGUAAUACACAAAUUUGUGAAGCAUUCCAUAUUUUC